rnacentral:rRNA from 1 species
GACGAACGCUGGCGGCGUGCCUAAUACAUGCAAGUCGAACGCACUCUCGUUUAGAUUGAAGGAGUUUGCUCCUGAUUGAUAAACAUUUGAGUGAGUGGCGGACGGGUGAGUAACACGUGGGUAACCUGCCCUAAAGUGGGGGAUAACAUUUGGAAACAGAUGCUAAUACCGCAUAAAACCUAACACCGCAUGGUGUAGGGUUGAAAGAUGGUUUCGGCUAUCACUUUAGGAUGGACCCGCGGUGCAUUAGUUAGUUGGUGAGGUAAAGGCUCACCAAGACCGUGAUGCAUAGCCGACCUGAGAGGGUAAUCGGCCACACUGGGACUGAGACACGGCCCAGACUCCUACGGGAGGCAGCAGUAGGGAAUCCUCCACAAUGGACGAAAGUCUGAUGGAGCAACGCCGCGUGAGUGAAGAAGGUUUUCGGAUCGUAAAACUCUGUUGUUGGAGAAGAAUGUAUCUGAUAGUAACUGAUCAGGUAGUGACGGUAUCCAACCAGAAAGCCACGGCUAACUACGUG